rnacentral:piRNA from 1 species
UCAAAGGAUAAUGUUUUUUAA